UACGUAGGGUGCGAGCGUUGUCCGGAAUUAUUGGGCGUAAAGAGCUCGUAGGCGGUGUGUCGCGUCGGCCGUGAAAACCUGCAGCUUAACUGUGGGCUUGCGGUCGAUACGGGCAGGCUCGAGUUCGGUAGGGGAGACUGGAAUUCCUGGUGUAGCGGUGAAAUGCGCAGAUAUCAGGAGGAACACCGGUGGCGAAGGCGGGUCUCUGGGCCGAUACUGACGCUGAGGAGCGAAAGCCAGGGGAGCAAACGGG
rnacentral:rRNA from 1 species